AUUAAAGGGCCGCGGUAUUUUAACCGUGCAAAGGUAGCAUAAUCAUUAGGUUUUUAAUUAGAAUCUUGUAUGAAUGGUUCGACAAAAGAAGUACUGUCUUUAUAUUAAAUUUUGAAUUUAACUUUUAAGUGAAAAGGCUUAAAUAUAUUAAAGGGACGAUAAGACCCUAUAAAACUUUACAUUGUAAUUUUAUUUAAUUAAAUUUGUGAAAUAAAGAUUUAAUUUAAUUAUAUGUUAUGUUGGGGAGACAAAGGUAAAAUAAAUUUUAACUGCUUUAUGUUAAAACAUAAAUUUAUGGAUAUUAAAAGAUCCUUUAUAAAGAUUAAAAGAUUAAGUUACUUUAGGGAUAACAGCGUUAUUUUUUUUGAGAGUUCCUAUCGAAAAGAGAGUUUGCGACCUCGAUGUUGAAUUAAAAUAUCUUUAUAGUGCAGAAGCUAUAGAAGAAGGUCUGUUCGACCUUUAAAUUUUUACAUGAUUUGAGUUCAGAGCGGCGCCAG
rnacentral:rRNA from 1 species